rnacentral:tRNA from 1 species
GGAGAUGUGGCUGAGUAUGGUUUAAGGCGGCGGUUUGCUAAACCGUUGUGGGGUAGCUAAAACUAUUUCACCCAAGGUUCAAAUCCUUGCAUCUCCGCCA